rnacentral:lncRNA from 1 species
ACACACACACACACACACACACGCCCCAAAGCCAUUCCCUACUGUAGGCACCAGCAUCUGAACAUGACAAACUCCAUGGUCCACCUCUGGAAUUGCCCUGCGUGGAUGCCCACCUGGAAGGGCCUUCAUGCCAUGGACAAACAACCGUAUGGAGUUAACAUCUGGGACCCACCCAGUCCAGUGGACAGAUCUGAGAAUUGGGUCCAAUCCUGUGCGCAGAUCUCUGAGUAAGAUAUAUCUGGAUGUCCCAGGUUGUUGGAGCAAGGUGCACAUCUGGAAUAGGCCUAACCACUUGCCACGGUGGAAGGGGCCUUGCCCUUUUGUCUCUGUCUCCUAGAGUUGAAAUUUUAGAGCUGAGGUAUAUGUGAAGUCACAGAAUUGUUUUAGAUAGAAGGCUAAUGUUCUGUACAAUAUAUAUAUGAAUGUAAAAAAUAUAUAUAUGCUUAUAUAUAUGCACAGUGUAUAUAUGACCCACAACCCCUGUGUAUACAACCCUUCCCUGCACGUCUACACACAAAGUGUACAGAACCCAGCCAGUAUGGGUGGGGACCCAGUGAGAGACAGGGGCUGCAGCAGAGAGGUCAGGUUUACACAGCCCUCUGGAUCAAGCCAGACCUUGCCAGCAUCAGUACUGUGGACCACGUCAAAGAAGGCAGACUAGUGCGGAGGUGACAGGAAAGGGACAGCCAUGGAUGAGCAUCUCCUCCAGGGAGUUUGUAUGAGGCAGGACAGCGGGCACACCUGAGGAAAACGGCCUUGCUAGUCGUUGAUCCCUGAGCCAAUAUCACAGUCUAGUCCCAGUACCUAGUGCCAGAGGAAAAUGGAAGUAGAUUGCCAGGCCUGCCCUUAUCCCUGCCUGCAGAGUAGCCUGGAAAGUUGUCAAGCUGCAUCUGAAAUCACCCAGAUGUCAGAGGAUCCUGGGUGGCAAAGGCCUCACAUAUGCAAGGUGCCCACAGCUCAGGGCUAGAGCGUGUCUCUUUUGAAGAGAACAGCCCGAGGGCACUGCCGACAUGCCCGUUCAGCAUCCUGAUAAACUAGUUAUGAAUCUAGUUCUUCUACCCUCGCCUUCUAGAAUAGAGGCUCCCAAAUCACCCCGCAGCUGUCUGGUUUACUUUUAUAGACCAAAACUCUGAGGCCUCCCAGUAGUAGAAAAAAACCCAUAGAUUCAGAUGCUAGCUAAGAGUCUGCCCCAGUUCAUUCUGAGACAGGUACAAAGUGGCAGGGAGCUAUCAAGGAACCAGAGAGAUUCAAGAUGGCAGCGCCUGGCCUUGCACAGCCCCUUACUGUCUGCCAGUCCUCGUUGUUGUUCUUCUCCCAACAGGGCAGCUGGUAGAAAGCCUCUGUCAGGUAGGUCACAGACCUCUGUCCCUGCCGCACCUGGAUCUGUCUCUUGCCAGUAAUUUGAGGCCUUCAUCCCUUUCCUGGGUCCGAGCAUCUCUAGAGUGUGCUGGGGAGAGGAGACCUGGGCUUUGCUUUUGUGUGGUCUGCAGCCUGCCCUUUGCUUCAACCCCAGCCCUUGGGCCAUCUACACUUAAAAGCCAGGCCCGCUCCUGCAGCCACGGCCAAGCGCACCGAAAUCUCCAGCUGCCGCUGAUGAGGGUCCUGUCCUGGCUCCACAGAGACCAGAGGCUCCAAGAGCCCUCACGCCACUGUGCUCUGAAACCCCACUUUAUCCCUGCCUGGGCUGACUUCCUGGCUGGGCCUCCGUGGUGGGGACCUCAGCUCCCAGCUCUUGGGCUGAGCCCCCAGACAGUACCAUGGGACUCUAAGAGCCCUGGCCUGUCCCACUACCCAGACCAGAGUGCCCUUUGUGGACAUGCAGAAUUUCUAUGAAUAUAGUUUUUUGUAAACAUUUUGUAACGAUUUGGGUUUCAUAGUAACUGUGUUACUUGCCAAUCAUUCUAAGCGGAUGUAAAUAAAUUUCCAAACAAAUCUGAUUAUUUUCCUUUUUAAGACACUGUGAUAUAUCAAAGUGCACAGUUUGCUGUAUGAAGUAAUAUGGUUUUAAAUUUUAAAUAAAUGUUUUUAGAAAAUG